CGAAAGUAAGACAGCGACGGCAGUGAGUAUAAAGAAGGAUUGGACGACGACGACGAGGAGCGAAGGAAGAAAAAUAUAAGAAGGAAGUUCGUCUGACCUCGCACGCUACUAUAACCACUAGCUAUAAUAUUUUAUACAAUUUACGAGGCAGUCCCUUCGCCCUAAAGUCUCGAGCUGGAUGUCCAUAGUGGCGACAACGAUCCUGUCAAGUAGCUAAAGGAGGUUAGAAAUUCAGCCCGAGAGGUGAAGGAGCAGCUGCAAGUCUAGAGACCCGGGAUACCCUGUACGCUGUAAAGAUUAUGGGAUGCUCUCGGCGACAAUCACGAAAUAAUGCGGACCGCACGAGCGACCAAACGCUCGAAAUGUGUGGCUCCCGUUGUGGUCUGUUACAACCUCACCAUUCCCCGUUACUGGUACUUCCUCGGGGAGUACCGCCUCCACAGAGUGCCAUAAGCCACUAGGUACCAUUUGCUGACAAUUAGAAUCAUUGGAUAUCCCCGGGCGACCCCUGGAGUUGAAGAUAGAAAGAAAAAGUGAAAAAAAGAUUUACCCGUAUAAUAAGAACGAGCACUGGCCUCAAGAAUUCGCGAGAGCAAGUCAGGGGCGACCGGUUAAUAAAUCGGCGAGUCCUGGUGUGGCUGUCAGUCCGGGUUCCCGUCGAUCCCGUGUAAAAAAAACGUUUGAGGACAAUUAAUAAUUCGCUCGGCGAGCACCAGGCCAAUUUGUCGAGGGCAUUCCGUCCUGCAGUAACGUAACAAGAACACCCGGAACCCUCUCCCACUUCUAUACGCACAGCCAUGCUACGAAAUUAAUACGCAACUAGCAAUGAAAGAGUGUACACGUGCGCGUAUAUAUACGUCAUAUCCAUAUAUCAGAGGAGUAUAUCCAGUGGACGAGUUAGUAGACGUAGAACGAGUGGCGGAGUGAUAUCGGCUAGUGGAGUAAUACAAGAGCAAUGUGCCAUAAGCGAGUGAGUGUCCAGCCGCGUAAAGGCCGCACAAUGGCGAAGAGCGAACUGUUAUCCGGAAGCGAGGGUUGGCCAGUGAUAACGGGUGUCGCUGACAUUAAUUGUAGGACAAUUUCGAAUAUCCAGAACGAAGGUAACAAGCGUAAAAUCCCACAAGACGAAAGCGUCUGGGUACUUGGGAAAAAAUCGCUGCACGUUUAUAUCGUACGAUAACAAGCACCCAUGGUCUGCCGAUACUUCAUCGGACGGAUCGACGUGCACUGCGGGACCUUGCGGUGACAAAUAAAUGCAGCCAAGGGGGGUUGGCAGCCCAGAAGGUCCGUGACGUAGGGGGUGGUCGAAUGGUGAACUCCAUAGCGGCGUAUCGACGUGGCAGCUAUGUUUCAUGAUUUUAACCCCCAUGAAAUUCCCGUCAGUCAUUUCAGCCUGCGUUAUCCGUUUACGUUCCGCGUUUCAUUGGGCGACCCUGUAUAACGGCCACGCGGAUGUCUCUUAACCCGAAGCAUUAUACGAAACACGACAGUGACUGUACAGCGUGUAGCUGCAGCACCUGCAAUAUUUUGAGUGCACGUAGAAAAAAGAAAAAAAAAAAUUGAAAAAAACAAGGGAACUAGGCAAAGUAUAAAUAAAUUCGAAAAUUCAAUUGAAACACAGUAAACCCUCUAAAACUAGGUAGUUCCAGAGGGCUCGAGGCUCUGUAGUAUAUAUAAACAUACAAGUAUCAUAUAACCAUAUGUGUAUGCAUAUGAGAGAAGAAAGGGUGCAGUAGGUACACGGUUCAACCUGCGCGUGUACACCGGGAGGCUUCAAUUAAUUAAUAUUCGAGAACAAGGAUGCAGCAUCCCAACUACCCAUCCGCAUCCCCGUAGACACAUAUACGCAUACACGUAACACAGCCAAUGCACAAGCUAGCGGGCCCUCUUUUUUUCAUACCUUCCGCACGAAGCCUCCCUGUAUAUGAUUUACCGUAUUUCCAACGACGUGAUUCUCCGCGUACCCUAACCUCGCGCCAUUUAAAAUAUUGCCAAGUCGCCAGGGUCUACCUGGGAAACUAUGUAUAUUAGCAUCAGCUGUAAACCACGUGCCCAGUCGCCGGAUACAUGUUUUACCCUUUGGCCCCCAUCCGCCGGCCUCGUCCUCCACGUCGUAGACCCUCGGGCCUGGUCUUGUUCGGUGCAAAUUAUUUCUUGCUCCUUUGGAUUAAGAAGUUCCCGGGUAUAACGACUCGAUCGAGUCUAUAAGAUUUUAUACACGGUGUACCGAUUGUAAGGGUUUCCAGGUGGAUGCCCGUUAUCAUGGGUAGACCGUACACAGGCGCUUCGUUCUGGAUAGACUCAGGAGGCUCUGAACGCUCCAGGCUCCCGGGCCCCAGGUAUGACUGCUGCUGUCAUAUAUAAUAACCGCAUAAAACAGAUACGCGCGAACCCAACCAGCCCACGAAUAUAUUAUGUUGCUGUGGCUAAUUUACGAUUAUAACGUACGUGUAUAACUAUCAUUGUUGAUAUACUACCCGCGUGCAGGUAUACGAGAAUGCUUAUGGCGAGAGCGGUGCCUGUACGGUGUAUGCAAUUUUCAUGUGGAUCUCUAUUGACUUCUUCUAUAUCCUUAUCCUCUAAUUCUAAGUAACGCCGUACCGCGUGAACAUAGCCUACGUACGGCGUGCACGUCCGAUCGAGCGUUAUACUUUACUCUUUAUUAAAUUAACUCUUCGCGGUAACGUUUCCGUGCGUUAAGGAUCCUUGUAAGCAACCUCGUACGCAGAGAAUAACGAUUCACUAUGAUUCCCUCUGAGAAUCGAGGGAGAUCGUUCGAUUCACUUGAAGUAGUCCGCAUAUCGAAUUUCACCGAGGGAGUGAGCACGAACAGACUUUGGGUCUGGAUGUAUGAUUAAUUCGACGAAAGUAAUGACCACCCAAUAUGUAUCAAGAUUUUUGUUUACGAUUCACACAACUUUUUUUCACUCAUUCGAUUACCUACUUUUUUGGAGGUUAACUUUUUGGUCGUAUGAAUUUUUCAAAUUGUUCUAGAACAUUUAUCGACGUAUACUCGUCGGAGUUUUCUCGUGUUCUCGGUCGAUCGUACGACGUGUGCGAAUGCGCCGGGAUCGGUGUGGCAACCUGGUGAACGUCAAAGGGAUGCCGCACACCUUUUUUGCGGCAAUGAUCGCAAUUGGACUGGUCUCGUGUCUUUCGAGACCGGUCGAGAAUCGAGAGUUGCCGAUACGACAAGAAGCAACUUCAGACCAGUCGUACGGACAGACGCGAAUACACGACGCUCGGGCACCGAUGACAGUUACAUGUCAAUAUGGCAUUCGAAAACUAGUUUCGCGUCCCCCUACCGCAACCCCCCCUGCUACAAAUGGCCGACUGCGAGUCGUCGGUAGUUUCACAAUGACAAAAAACCACCGAACUGUCUACCAACUUGGAGAUAUCGAUGAGACAGUUUAAAAGCCAAACCACGCGGGGCUUCGAUUCAUAGCAGCAAAACGGCAGAUACGAGAAACCCAUUCUAAGACAUUGCCCGUGCAGUCUUUACGAUCACAGUAGGUGGAUGAGAUCUUGAAUUGGAUGCUGCGAGGAUGUAUCUCUAUCCCACACGCCCGCACGGACAACACGUACACUUUUACAACGCCGGUACGACGUCCUGACUAUCUCCACUCUCCGUUCGUCUACCUCAGCCUUCCUACGCAUCCCAUUAAGCGACACAGUUUCAUCCCACGGAGGUUCUAGCCACGGCGCAAUUUCGAAUAGAAAACACAAGAUGCAUAACACGAGAUCAGAUAGCAUCAGCACGCGCGAUAUUAAUCGUAGAAAAAGCCCCUAAUGAAAGAUCGCAACCAAAUAGCCCAGGAGCAGGGUAAAAAGGGGGAUGAAAGUUUGAAAAAUAAAUA